CACCUCUCAGGGUCACACCUGGAGAGUUUCCAAUACUCUACCAGUCUCGACCAUGGGAGGAAGAGUCAAGCAGAGGCAUAUCCAUUCAUUUCGAGCUUGGGCAGUGGCUAGCGAGUGAAAGGCAAUCUGCUACAAGC